rnacentral:rRNA from 1 species
UACGUAGGGUGCGAGCGUUGUCCGGAAUUAUUGGGCGUAAAGAGCGUGUAGGCGGCUUUGCAAGUCCGUUGUGAAAACUCGAGGCUCAACCUCGAGACGCCGGUGGAAACUGCAAAGCUAGAGUCCGGAAGAGGAGAGUGGAAUUCCUGGUGUAGCGGUGAAAUGCGCAGAUAUCAGGAAGAACACCCGUGGCGAAGGCGGCUCUCUGGGACGGUACUGACGCUGAGACGCGAAAGCGUGGGUAGCAAACGGG